rnacentral:sRNA from 1 species
GUACUAGGUACGCCGUCUAGGACCGACCCGUCCUGUGGGUCAACGUCGGCAUGACCUGGUCCUCCGGG